UGUGACCAGGCCAGUAAGGGCACACGGUGAAUGACUUGGCGUCGAGAGGCGAUGAAAGACGUGGCAACCUGCGAUAAGCCCAGGGGAGUUGGAAGCGAACUGAGAUCCUGGGAUUUCUGAAUGGGGCAACCCACCCUUCGGGGUAUCACGGACUGAAUGCAUAGGUUCGUGAGGCGAACGUGGGGAACUGAAACAUCUCAGUACUCACAGGAAAGGAAAGCAACAGCGACUCCGUGAGUAGCGGCGAGCGAAAGCGGACAGUCGAUAGCACAUUGAACGCGUUGGAAUGCGCGACCGAAGAAGGUGAAAGUCCUGUAGGUGUGUGAAUCGGCACAGCCCAAGAGUAGGCUCGGGCUCGUGGAACCCGGGUUGAAGAUGGGGGGUCCACCCUCCAAGGCUAAGUACUACUCGACGACCGAUAGAGAAACAGUAAAGCGAUUGAAAGUUGAAAAGCACCGCCAUGAGCGGGGUGAAAGAGUACCUGAAACCGUGUGCCUACAAGCGGUCGGAGCCCUCCGGGGUGACGGCGUGCUUUUUGCAUAAUGAGCUCGCGAGUUAGUCUCUGCGGCGAGCCUAAGGCCUAUCGGGCCGGAGGCGGAGCGAAAGCGAGUCUGAACAGGGCGUUCAGUCGCAGGGACUAGACACGAAACCCGUGUGAUCUACCCAUGGUCAGUGUGAAGGGCGGGUAAAGCCGCCUGGAGGCACGAACUCGUUGUCGUUGAAAAGACAUGAGAUGAACUGUGGGGAGGGGUUAAAGUCCAAUCAUACCGGGAGAUAGCUUGUUCUCGCCGAAAUAACUUUAGGGUUAGCCUCAGAGUGCAACUGUCGGGGGUAGAGCUACUGGAUGAGAGGUGGGCCCUACCCGGGUACCCCUUUCAACCAAACUCCGAAUACCGGCAGCCAAGUUCUGGGAGAUAGACUGCGAGUGAUAAUAUCCGCGGUCAAAAGGAGAAUAAUCCAGAUCGCCAGCUAAGGCCCCCAAUCUCGGCUUAGUUCGUAAGGAAGUCAGAUUGCCGUGACAACCAGGAUGUUGGCUUAGAAGCAGCCAUCAUUUAAAGAGUGCGUAAUAGCUCACUGGUCGAGGAGUCUGGCGCCGAUAAUGAUCGGGAAUAAGCCGGGAGCCGAAGCUGCGGACAUCGCAAGAUGUGGUAGGCGAGCGUUCCAUGGGCGGUGAAGCUGUUCCGGAAGGGACGGUGGAGCGCAUGGAAGUGCAUAUGCGGGCUUAAGUAACGAUAAACAGGGUGAGAAUCCCUGUCGCCGCAAGCCCAAGGUUUCCUGGGGAAGGUAAUUCCGCCCAGGGUUAGUCGGGUCCUAAGGCGAGGCCGAAGGGCGUAGUCGAUGGACAGCAGGUUAAUAUUCCUGCACACCCGCAGAGAUCGAAGCGUGAUGCGGAUCUCCAAGGUCAGCGAGAGCAACAAGUUGCGAGGUUUCGGCCGAUGCUGAUGGAGGGGGUUCCCAGAAAAGUCACGUGGGCAAAGCGGGUCCCGUACCAAAACUGACACAGGUGGGCGAGGCGAAUAGCCUCAGGCGCUCGAGAGAACGGUCGUGAAGGAACUAGGCAAAUUAACCCCGUACGUUCGCACUUCGGCGAAGCUCGGAACCCAAGCACCGGUCAAUGGCGGCCGUAACUAUGACGGUCCUAAGGUAGCGAAGUUCCUUGUCGGGUAAGUUCCGACGCGCAUGAAUAGCGUAAUCACCGGAGCACUGUCUCCACGACCGACUCGGUGAAAUAGUAGUGGCGGUGAAGAUGCCGCCUCCCCGCAGCAAGACGGAAAGACCCCGUGGACCUUUACUGCAGGCUUCUAUUGGUCACGAGCACAUGAUGCGUAGGAUAGGUGGGAGACUUUGAGGCGGGCGUUUCGGCGCUCGCGGAGUCAUCGGUGAAAUACCACCCUUCGUGAGUUUGUGGCCUAACCCCGAUUCCCUUGAAGCAGGGCGGGGGACAGUGGGUGCUGGGUAGUUUGACUGGGGCGGUCUCCUCCUAAAGAGUAACGGAGGAGUGCAAAGGUCGGCUCAGCGCGGAUGGAAACCGCGUCUUAGAGUGCAAAGGCACAAGCCGGCUUUACUGCGAGUCCGACGGGACGAGCAGUCACGAAAGUGGGCCUUAGUGAUCCUGCGCUCCCGUGUGGAAGGGGCGUAGCUCAACGGAUAAAAGGUACCCCGGGGAUAACAGGCUUAUCGCUCCCGAGCGUCCAUAGCGGCGGAGCGGUUUGGCACCUCGAUGUCGGCUCAUCGCAUCCUGGGGCUGUAGGCGGUCCCAAGGGUUGGGCUGUUCGCCCAUUAAAGCGGUACGCGAGCUGGGUUCAGACCGGCGUGAGCCAGGUCGGUCCCUAUCUGCUGUGGGCGUUCCAGACUUGUGAGGAGUCAACUCUAGUACGAGAGGACUGAGUUGGACCGACCCCUGGUGAUCCUGUUGCACCGCUCGGUGCACCGCAGGGUAGCUACGUCGGGCAGGGAUAACCGCUGAAAGCAUCUAAGCGGGAAGCCCCCCUCGAGAUAAGGUCUGGUUGUCUUUGACGAGAGACCCCCGGAAGACUACCGGGUUGAUAGGCCGCGCGUGCAAGGGCUGAGAGGCUCUCAGCGGAGCGGUACUAACGGUCAAAGGCCUGGUCAC
rnacentral:rRNA from 1 species